rnacentral:rRNA from 1 species
GACAGAGGUGCCGAGCGUUAGGCGGAAUCACUGGGCUUAAAGCGUGUGUAGGCGGAUCGUUAAGUGCCUUGUGAAAUCCCACGGCUCAACCGUGGAACUGCUUGGCAUACUGGCGAUCUUGAGCCACUUAGGGGCUACCGGAACAAAUGGUGGAGCGGUGAAAUGCGUAGAUAUCAUUUGGAACGCCAAUGGUGAAAACAGGUAGCUGGGAGUGUGCUGACGCUGAGACACGAAAGCCAGGGGAGCAAACAGG